ACACUUACCUGGCAGGGAUGAUUCCAUGAUCAAGAAGGUUGUUUCCCCAGGACAAGGCUCACCUAUUGCACUCUGGGUGUGCUGACCCCUGCGAUUUCCCCAAAUGUGGGAAACUCGACUGCACAAUUUGUGGUAGUGGGGGACUGUGUUCACGCUCUCCCUUU